ACUCAAAUGAAUUGACGGGGACCCGCACAAGCGGUGGAGCAUGUGGUUUAAUUCGAUGGUACCCGAAGCACCUCACCAAGAUUUGACAUCCUGAUGAAAGGCACCAGAAAUGGAGCCCCUCUUCGGACAUCAGAGACAGGUGCUGCACGGUUGUCGUCAGCUCGUGUUGUGAAAUGUACGGUUAAGUCCGAUAACGAGCGCAACCCCUGUUACCAGUUAUAUUUGUCUGGUGAUACUGCCGUGGUUAACACGGAGGAAGGUGGGGAUGACGUCAAAUCAGCGUGGCCUUUAUAUCUUGGGCGACACACGUGCUACAAUGGGUAGGUCACAAUGGGUUGCCAAGUCGUGAGACGGAGCUAAUCCCAUCAAAACUACCCCCAGUUCGGAUUGGAGGCUGCAACUCGCCUCCAUGAAGUCGGAAUCGCUAGUAACCGCAGAUCAGCUAUGCUGCGGUGAAUACGUUCUCGGGUCUUGCACACACCGCCCGU
rnacentral:rRNA from 1 species